UACGUAGGGACCAAGCGUUGUUCGGAUUUACUGGGCGUAAAGGGCGCGUAGGCGGCAAUUCAAGUCAGCUGUGAAAUCUCUGGGCUUAACCCAGAACGGCCAGCUGAUACUGCUUUGCUAGAGUGCAGAAGGGGCAAUCGGAAUUCUUGGUGUAGCGGUGAAAUGCGUAGAUAUCAGGAGGAACACCAAUAGCGAAGGCAGCUCGCUGGGACGGUACUGACGCUAAGGCGCGAAAGCGUGGGGAGCGAACAGG
rnacentral:rRNA from 1 species